rnacentral:rRNA from 1 species
UACGUAGGGUGCGAGCGUUAAUCGGAAUUACUGGGCGUAAAGCGUGCGCAGGCGGUUUUAUAAGCCAGAUGUGAAAUCCCCGGGCUUAACCUGGGAACUGCAUUUGGAACUGUAAGACUAGAGUACGGCAGAGGGGGGUAGAAUUCCACGUGUAGCAGUGAAAUGCGUAGAUAUGUGGAGGAAUACCGAUGGCGAAGGCAGCCCCCUGGGAUAACACUGACGCUCAUGCACGAAAGCGUGGGGAGCAAACAGG